rnacentral:rRNA from 1 species
GACGAACGCUGGCGGCGUGCUUAACACAUGCAAGUCGAGCGGUAAGGCCCCUUCGGGGUACGACGAGCGGCGAACGGGUGAGUAACACGUGGGUGACCUGCCCUCAGCUCUGGGAUAAGCCUGGGAAACUGGGUCUAAUACCGGAUAUGACUCCAUGACGCAUGUCGUGGGGUGGAAAGCCUUGUGCGGCUGGGGAUGGGCCCGCGGCCUAUCAGCUUGUUGGUGGGGUGANGGCCUACCAAGGCGACGACGGGUAGCCGGCCUGAGAGGGCGACCGGCCACACUGGGACUGAGACACGGCCCAGACUCCUACGGGAGGCAGCAGUGGGGAAUCUUGCGCAAUGGGCGAAAGCCUGACGCAGCGACGCCGCGUGAGGGAUGACGG